GACGAACGCUGGCGGCGUGCCUAAUACAUGCAAGUCGAGCGAAGUUUUUCUGGUGCUUGCACCGGAAAAACUUAGCGGUGAACGGGUGAGUAACACGUAAAGAACCUGCCUCAUAGACUGGGACAACUAUUGGAAACGAUAGCUAAUACCGGAUAAUAGCAUUAACUGCAUGGUUGAUGUUUAAAAGUUGGUUUUGCUAACACUAUGAGAUGGCUUUGCGGUGCAUUAGCUAGUUGGUGGGGUAAAGGCCUACCAAGGCGACGAUGCAUAGCCGACCUGAGAGGGUGAUCGGCCACACUGGGACUGAGACACGGCCCAGACUCCUACGGGAGGCAGCAGUAGGGAAUCUUCCGCAAUGGGCGAAAGCCUGACGGAGCAACGCCGCGUGAGUGAAGAAGGAUUUCGGUUCGUAAAGCUCUGUUGUUAGGGAAGAAUGAUUGUGUAGUAACUAUACACAGUAGAGACGGUACCUAACCAGAAAGCCACGGCUAACUACGUG
rnacentral:rRNA from 1 species